UACGGGGGGGGCAAGCGUUGUUCGGAAUUACUGGGCGUAAAGGGUUCGUAGGUGGCCUGCUAAGUCAGACGUGAAAUCCCUCAGCUUAACUGGGGAACUGCGUCUGAGACUGGCGGGCUUGAGUGCAGGAGAGGAACGCGGAAUUCCAGGUGUAGCGGUGAAAUGCGUAGAUAUCUGGAGGAACACCGGUGGCGAAGGCGGCGUUCUGGACUGUUACUGACACUGAGGAGCGAAAGCCAGGGGAGCAAACGGG
rnacentral:rRNA from 1 species